AUUGAACGCUGGCGGCAUGCCUUACACAUGCAAGUCGAACGGUAACGGGCCUUCGGGUGCCGACGAGUGGCGCACGGGUGAGUAAUACAUCGGAACGUGCCCGAUCGUGGGGGAUAGCGAGGCGAAAGCUUUGCUAAUACCGCAUACGAUCUACGGAUGAAAGCAGGGGACCGCAAGGCCUUGCGCGGACGGAGCGGCCGAUGGCAGAUUAGGUAGUUGGUGGGAUAAAAGCUUACCAAGCCGACGAUCUGUAGCUGGUCUGAGAGGAUGAUCAGCCACACUGGGACUGAGACACGGCCCAGACUCCUACGGGAGGCAGCAGUGGGGAAUUUUGGACAAUGGGCGCAAGCCUGAUCCAGCCAUGCCGCGUGCAGGAUGAAGGCCUUCGGGUUGUAAACUGCUUUUGUACGGAACGAAAAGCCUUCUUUUAAUACAGGAGGGUCAUGACGGUACCGUAAGAAUAAGCACCGGCUAACUACGUG
rnacentral:rRNA from 1 species